CAGGCUUGCUACUUAAUUCUCAAAAAAAUCGUGCGUUCGCAUCACCAUCCUGUGGAACCACGAGGCAUGAUCCAGUGAUUUCAGAAAACAUUUACUAUGUUUAUGGAUCACUACAUGUUCUGCUGGAACAAGGUUCAAUACUUUUUCUGGUUUCAACAAGAAGAAGACAACUACUCACUGCUCUCAACAAGAACCACACAAGCGGAUCAUCUAACAUAACCUGUUUGAGGGAAGGCUUGUGGUGGCAACGCUGACGGUCGUCGAGAGGUUCGUGGACUAGAUGGUGUCGUG